GCUUUGCUAAGUAAGAUGUUUACUGGAGUACAUUUCUCUCCUGAUAUCAGAGAUGCGGCUGCCCCAAGCACAUUUAGAAGUUGCACUCUUGGUACAAAAGUAAAGGUUUGUUCUCUUCUGCCUGCAAAACUACAGCCAGCAACUAGAGGUGAUACCUGAAUUUAUCCGGAUUGACAAUCUUCACCCCUGGAAAACAUGACUCCCAGAAUCCAGCGGUGGGGGAGAGGGGGUCGCAUGGGGGGAGAACAGCUCCUCCCGGUGUGCCUCAACACAGGGCAUCCAACACCUACUUGUCACUCCCAAGGCUGACUGAUGAAUAAUGCUCCCAAGUCUUGCUGCA
rnacentral:antisense_RNA from 1 species